CUGCGGAGGGAUCAUUACAGAGUUCAUGCCCUUCGGGGUAGAUCUCCACCCUAUGUAUUUAUACUCUUGUUGCUUUGGCAGGCCGCUGGGCUCCGGCCUGGCCACCGGCUCUCGCUGGUGCGCGCCUGCCAGAGGCCUUCAAACUCUGAAUGUUAGUGUCGUCUGAGUACUAUAUAAUAGUUAAAACUUUCAACAACGGAUCUCUUGGCUCUGGCAUCGAUGAAGAACGCAGCGAAAUGCGAUAAGUAAUGUGAAUUGCAGAAUUCAGUGAAUCAUCGAAUCUUUGAACGCACAUUGCGCCCUCUGGUAUUCCGGAGGGCAUGCCUGUUCGAGCGUCAUUACAACCCUCAAGCUCUGCUUGGUGUUGGGCUUCGGGCGUCAGCCUGGGCCCUAAAAUCAGUGGCGGUGCCACCUGGCUCUGAGCGUAGUAAAUCUCUCGCUAUAGACGCCUGGUGGAUGCUGGCCAGAACCCCUAAUUUUUUAUGGUUGACCUCGGAUCAGGUAGGGAUACCCGCUGAACUUAAGCAUAUCAAUAAGCGGAGGAAAAGAAACCAACAGGGAUUACCUUAGUAACGGGCGAGUGAAGCGGUAACAGCUCAA
rnacentral:rRNA from 1 species